GUAAUAUGAAUAAGAAAUUGGCCAUAAGUCUGUUUUACUUUAAAUUCACAAAAUACUACAUUAAGAAAAGUUUUAUAUUGCGUUUCUUCUCUUUAUAAGUUUUUAAGUAUUCCUCGUUGCUCAUUAAAUGUAAUAUUAAAGAUUGUAUUAGUUCAGUAAUAGGUGGUGGUGUUGUAAUAGUGGAAGAUAUACUAGAAAACCUCUAAAUUUAUAUACGCAAAGUGUGUACUGUACUCCCCAAGCCAGAAAGUUAAAAGAGUACCGAGUUUCCUUAUUGGGGUCUAUUUAUUUGCGUAGAUUUUAAUUUUAGAAA